AAGAGGGAACACCAACCGCAGGAGUCAGAUUGUACUCGGAAGUUGAUUGUAAAACUCGUUUGGCAUCUUCUCAGAUGAGAUGGCUGAAGUAGAAAAGAUGUAAAAAUCCUACAUCUUGACGGUGUGAAUGUGUGACUGAGGGAUUUUAUUUUUUUUUUUUCCA